rnacentral:lncRNA from 1 species
UAUUAUUUUUUUCCUGUUGUCCCAAGACUACAUUUUAGUGAUCUUAUAAAACAAUAAAUAAGAACCCAUGCCAUUUGUUAAUUCUGGGUACCAAAGGCCCAGGUGGGGAGAGGUACUUCACAGCACUGGGCUGCUUGAAUAGACUUUCUUCUUAUUCUAAUGCUGGAUUCUAGUCUGAUCAUAAGAUAUGCGAAUGGUGAAUGUGGUUUACGCCCUUGAAUCCUGGGAGGUGUUCCUGGUUUUAAAUCCUGGGAUCCUGGCCAGUUAAGAGCCCUUGGCUCCCCUGAAAUUGCGUGGGAGGUGUGUGUGCUUUCUCUUCCUGGGGAGCUUCUUACAGAGCCCUUGACCCAAACAAGGUUGAGAACUCCAGAGUGCGGCCCUGGCAGACCUCGUCCCUGGUCCCUGGCUCCAGGCAGACCUCCCAGUUCCAGCCUUGUUUCAGGUACCAGCCUUGUUUUGACCGAGUAGGAGCUGCUGUUUACAACUGGCCAGCCAUGUGGAUUUCCCUUAGCUUUAUUAUUUUCAAAUUCCACACCUAAAUUGGGCU